rnacentral:lncRNA from 1 species
AGACCCACCGGCAGACAGGCGGACCGGGCGCUCGGCUGUCGCUGUUCUCCGCGCGGCGGCUGCGGGGCUUCUGACUUGGAGAACAAUGAAGCGUGAGCUGGAGGGGAGCGAGCGGGCCGCCGGGAGCGCACUGUGUACAAACAGAGGCGGCGUGCGUCUCCUUCUGCUAUAAGAGAAAAGGGAGACAACUGCAGCCACACCCUAGCACCUAGCACCUGCCACCACCUCUGAAGUUCCUGCAUUGCCUGUACCUUCUCCGCACAUGCUGGAGACUGUGGGGUUAAGAGCUGCACCCUUGCUGCCUGAGAGUCCCUUGGAUUCCAGCACUGACUUUAUAAUUAACCACGUUAAGGAUUCCCCUGAACUUCCUUUCUCAGUAUAACCAGGAACAGAAGUUAAGAGAUUUUGAAAAGUGACUCUUGGGGCACAAAACUGCAUGAGAGACAGAACCCUGCAAAGUGAAUUGCCCCGUAUUUCUCAGGAACUGCAACGUAGUCAGCAACCAGACCCUAAUCAGCUAAGACAGGGCUGCUCUGCUGCUCUGUCUACAAUUUAGUUAGCUCCAGGGCUGGGGAGAGAGGGUUGUGGGCUCAUCUGUUCACGGGGGCAAAAGGGUGGAAGUGAGUAGGAGACAUGCAUCUCGUUAAGCAGGACAUCUGUUUCAGAGAAGAAGUGGGGCAAGUUUGGGAACUGUGCAAGAACAUAAAGGCAAAGACAGACCCUUGAAGCAUCACUAAGGUGGAUCAAAUUUUCUUUCUAUCCGCCAAAAUAAAUGGACUGGUUUUUGCAGUGGAAGUGAUUGAACCAAAAAUACAGCUCAUGGCUUACAAUUGUGCUUUCUUCUCUGUUUUUCGGUUAGAAUGAUUGCUUAUUGUACAUGGAUCCAAUUCCAGCAGUUACAGGUACCAAAAUGAAACAGGGCUUCUUUUUUCUUUUUUUUCUUUUUUUUUUCUUUUCCUUUUUUCUUUUCUUUUUUUUUUUUUUUUGUCUUCUAGAGAGGGAGGUAGGGAGAGAGACAAACACAGAGCUAGAGAAAUUGAAAGAGAAACAUUCUCGAAGGCAAAGAGUUGAAAGGUGAAUCUACUAAGAAAAGAAUAACAGAGUGCAAUUAGCCAUGGAACUACAUCUCCAUCUGCCUCCUUUAAAGGAUGAGUCCUUUAAAGAGCCUUUGGAAGGAAUUGGGCCAUGAGAAGAGCCCUCAUGAAUGGGAUUAGUUCCCUUAUAAGAAGAGACACCAAGGAAGUGAUCUUUCUCUGCCCUCUGCUAUGUGAAGACAAGGUAAGAAGACAGCUAUGAACCAAGAAGCAGGCCCUUACCAGACACCAAAUCUGCUGGUGCAUUGAUCUUGGACUUCUCAGCCUCCAGGACUGUGAGAAAUAAAUGUUUAUUGUUGAAGCCACCCAGUCUACAGUAAUUUGUUAUAGCAGCUGAAAUUGACUAAGACAAUUUAAAAAAAUUAAUCUCAUUGACUAUCAAUUUGGAUUCUGGAGCAUACCUGGAUUCAGGUAUACAUUGGAUUUGGGCAUAUCUGAACUGGAAUAUGGUCUCUAUCAUUCUAACUCCUUUAACUAAGUUAAAGUCUGUUAAGUGCCAAACCUCAGUAUUCUCAUCUGUAAAAUGAAGGUAGUGAUAGUAUCAAACUGAUAGUGGUAGGUUGUGGUGGUGCACAAAAGGGCCUAGUCCAGCACUGGACACAUGGUGAUGAUGAUGAAAGAUAAUGAUACUGAUAAAUAAGAAGACAAUACUAAUAUACAUAAUUCCAAAAGAAUUUUUCUUAAUACGUGAUCCUCUUCACUCCCCGUCUCCCAUCCCCAUUAAAUUACCUGGAAUUUUUUAGUCCAUCUUUCAGUUUGUCAAGCAACGAAUAACACUAAAGGUAGUCUUUUUUAUUAUCGUGUAAUUAUGGAAUUUUUUAUUAUUUUGCAUUUUAAAACUUUGUUUUGAAUUUCCAAAACUUUUUAUUUAAUAUCUAAAAUGUCUUUCUACUAAAAUUUUGCUCUCACCGUCUGAGACUCAAAGCAGAAAACCCAGCCAAGACCAUCUCAAAUUCUGACCUACAGAACUGGGAGUUAAUAAUUGGUGUUGUUUUAAACUGCUGAGUCUGUGGUAGUUUGCUAUGAAGACUAAUAUAGUUGGUUACUAUUGUUAUUCUAAUUUCAGGGAGAAGGAAUAAGUCAUGGAGCGGUUAGGUUAAUUGUCCAUCCUCUCAAGUUAGUAAGUGUUGGAGCCGAUAAGUGAAUCUAAACAGCGUGAAUCUAAAGCCCACUGCAUACUUCUGCCAACAAUUAUGAAGGGUCGACUGUAUGCUAAGCUCUAAUGCAUUUUUACAUAUAUUGCUUUACUAAAUAGGUUACCUCAACAACCUUUAUGAGGUAAAUAUUAUUAUUAUUUGCAUUUGACUACUGAGGAAACCAAGAAUCAAAACCUUUAAGUACAUUGCCCAGGAUCAAGGUGGCGGUGAGGAAUGGAGCCAAGAGCUAGUAUCAGAGCCCUGCUCUGGUUCCAGUAGUGAUUUUCACAGCCAUUGUGUUAAAAUGCCUAUUUAGACAGUGGUCUAACUUACUUUAUUUAUUGACAUUUUCAAUUUCAAUGGUUAUAAUUAUAAUUGUCAUUUUUUAGUACAGUUUGCAUUUCUCCCUGAUCUUCUUGAUGCAUCAUUUUAGAAUAUACAUUGCUGAAAUGUAGAAUUUCAAGCACAUUUUAAAUUCUCUACAAUAUUUGCAUAACUCAUAACACUUUUCUUCAUUGCUCCCACAAGCACCAAGAUAAUUCUUUCCUCCAACCCUCUGCUCAUGCUGUUAUCCCCACCUGAAAUGCCCUCUUACAAAUCCUACUAGCUGAAUUACAGUUUCCAUUUAAGACCUCCCCGAAUUAUUCUAGCACCAGAGAACCAUCAUUUCUUAGAAUUAACAGUGCUUUUAAUUUUUUUUCUAGUUGUUUCACUUGUGUUAAUCUUAUCUUUCCAAAGAAUUAUAUGGUUCUUACCAUUUAGAUAACUGCAUGUCUUAGACAUAGCUGAGUGUUAUGUUUUAAAUUUCUUCAGUCUUUCCACUGUGAACACUAAGGAAAAUUAAUUUUUAAGACUACAGAUUUGAUACCAAAUCCCUACUUCCUAAUAUUUCACUGCCUGAUUCCCUAAUGGAUGCUCUUUCCAGAAAAUGUGUAGGGUCAUUAAGCAAGAGUGUACCUUUGCUUUCAGAAUUUGACCCUGGUAGGAGAAAUUUCUGGUGCUUCUAAUUCUUUCCCUCCAGUUUCCCAGUCAAACUCAUUUCAGUGACUUGGUUUUUAGCUUCCUGAAAUAUGUUUGAAUAAUUAAUAUAUACACACAAUAAAAGUUCAAAGGUACAAAAGAGUGUGCAGGAAAAUAAAAGUUUUCCUCCUAAUGACAUUCCCUUCUUACACAAGGUUAUUCCCUCAGGGCCUACUGCUGAUAUCUAGUAGCUAUGCUUGUGUAUCCUUCUAAAGAUACACAAACACACCCCCCUAUAUAUGUGUGUUUAUAUGUACUUGUGCAUACAUGUGUGUAUAUAUAGUGUGUAUAUGUGUACACACAUACUUUUUACAAAAGUUACUAAAUUAUACAAUCAUGGAUCUUGCUUUUCUUCACAAACGUUCUGUGUUUUGAAAUUGUAUCAAGGACUGCAUAGUAUCUGUAUAUGUAAAUCCUUUUUGAUAGACAUUUAAGUUGCUUCCAAUCUUUUGCUAUUGCAAGCAAUAUUACAUGAAUACACAUUUUGCACAUGUGUGCAAGAUAAACAUAUUAGAAUAGAUUUGUUGAAGUAACAUUGUUGGUGGGGGGAAUGUUCAUAUAAAAUUGUGAUAGAUAUUACCAAUUUGCCAUUCAUAAGGUAUCUAUGAGUUCACCCUUCCACCUGUACUGUAUCAGACAGCUUGUCUCUCUUUAGUGUGGCUGAUAUGAUUCUUAACAGUCUUUGAAAGACAAAAAAAGGUAUCUCAUGGUUUUGAACACCUAUUAUUUUUACUGGGUUUGAGCAACUUUUCGCAUAUUUAAAAAUAAUUAUUUUCUUUAUGUGAACUGGCAUUUCAUGUAUUUUGCUUUUAUUUCUACUGAUUUGCUAACCUUUUUAUUGAUUGGUAGGAGAUCUGUAUAAGGAAAUUCAUCCAUUUGGGGUCACAUUAAUGUCAAAAAAUUUAUCCAGCUGGUUCUUGUCCUUUAACCUAGUUUACACCUAUUUGUUUGAUUUUAUUGUGCUAAAAUUGCUAAAAUAUUUUAUAUUUGGGUGAUGAAAUUUAUCCACCUUUGCUUUAAGAUUUCUAGGUUUUGAUAUUUGCUAAGAUAGGCUUUCAGUAUUCUGAAUUUAUAAACAUAUCUUACAGUGUCUUAUAGUAGUUUUAUGAAUAUUUCAUGUGUGUUUUUACAAUUCUUACCAAAUUAAAAUUUGAGAGAUAGUAUUUGUUACUAUCUUACUUGUUCUCUCAAAAACUACCAGUAAUAACAAAACCAUAUAUUGAAUAAAUCCAUAUAUUUCAAAUUAAUAUGACAUGCCAACUCACUCACUUAGUCACUAUAUAUUUGGCUCUACUGCUUGCUUUUAUAGACUGUUCCAUUGGGUUAUCUAUUCGUGUGCCAGUACUACAUGCCUAAUUGUUGUUUUAAUUUUUUUUUAAUAACUACUAGGGUAAACAUCAUCUACUUCUUUUUUAAAAAAUACUCCCUGACUAAUGUACAUUUAUUUUUUUUCCUACAUGAACUUUAGAGUGAGCUUGUCUAGUUGAAAAAAACAUAAUAAAUAUAUUUAUAGUAUUAGUAUACCUAUGUAUAUAUCCAAUUUUCUUCUGUGUUUCUCUUGUUAAGUUUCUAUUUAGAUAUUUUAUAUUUUUAUAUGCCUACCUAAAUGCAAAUUUCUUCAUUAUAUUUUGUAACUGGCUCUUCUACAUUUAUAGGAAGGCUAUCUUUGUGUGUGUGUGUGUGUGUGUGUGUGUGUGUAUGUGUGUCUAUAUAUGUGCACUAAUGUUAAACCCAGUUACUUUAUAAAUUGUAAAUUGUCUUUUAUAAUUUACAUUAUUAGCUUUUUCGUUUAUUAUUUUGGGUUUUCUAGACAUAAAAUCAUCACAUCUGAAAAGAACUUUAGUUUUACCUCCUUACCUCCUCUUCGAAUUUUCAUGCUUAUUUUUUCCAUCAAAUUGUUAUAACUGGUAUUAUGUAAUAGAUUUUAAAUAAAUGGACACACUUGGACUAUUUUUCACUCUAAUGGGACCACUCUAAUGACCUCCAAGGCACAGCACAAGGACUCUUGUCUCCCAUUUCCAGUGCAUGCACUACAGCCAUUUUCUCUAUACCAGCAUUUGCUCAGAAAAAAAAAAAAAGAGUAAGACAUUAACAUCAGUGUAGGAAGGAAAUAAGUGUCCAUGAAUAUGCAGGAUAGGAUAAAGGAGGGAAAUUAUCUUUUCUCUACAGUAAAUAAAAAGAGGCUUAUCAAGAAUUGGUAGAAUUGGAUGUCUUAAGCUUUGACGUUGCAUUUGACAGAAAAUUGGAACUCAUUGUCUUUUGAUUUAAAAGAAAGGGAUGAUAAAAUCUUCCACACCCACCAUAGCAGGAGUUAUGUGGUUAUCUAGGGAAAAACGUAUUAUAAUAGGCCAAAGGACCGUCUUAGACUAUUUCCCCUUUUAUCUAGUUUUCAUUGCCAUAUUCUUCUCUUUUCCUCCGUUUAUCACAUUGCUGAAAAUUGAGUCAGAGAUUUAUUUAUUUAAGAUAUAAAAGAUACCUGAUACAUCAAGCAUAGUAAUUGGAC